UGACAAGCAGCUCAAGCACUGAAGUGGGGAAACUCUCCCAGCUUCUCCCAAGGACCUGGGAAGACACACCGAAUUUGCUGCAAUAGAAAAGCUGUUGGCCAAAGUACAAGCCUGAAGAAAAUAACACACCUUGCCAGUGGACAAGGAGGAUGGUGGUUUAUUAACUAUUUCAUUUCUAUUCUCUAUCAUUUUCAGUGGUUUUAUUUCAAAAAAACCAGAGAGUUUGGGUUUGGAGUAUUUUUUAAUUAUUUAUUUUAAAUUUUUUUUUAGGUGGGAGUAAAGGCCUUAUGAAGAUUCAGCUGAAAGACUCUGGGUGAGUUGGGGUCCUGUAUCAGGGCUGUAUUAGUUAGGAGGGGCAGACAUCCAUUACACAAUGAUAUGACAGCAUUUUUCUUCUUUAAUUGUAGACUUUUAUUGAUAUGAAUGGUUAUGUGCAGUUUUUCUGCACAGAAGCUUCACAAGUGCAGGACUUCGAGUCCAUGAAUAGCGUUAUGUGUAAAACUCUGUUGAUAGUACGGCACAGAGGCUGCACUCUCCUAUCCCCUUGUUUCAGCUAGACUGUCCUUUCUGGCUGCAUGGAUCUCCUUCCCCACCUGCCACCUGGAGAUGUGUAGUACAGGCCAGGUUUUGAGCUGGUUCAUCCCACAUAACGCAAGAGUAGGAGGGACAAGUGACAGCCACAUCUUAAUCAGCAUGAAAUAGAGAAUUGAGGCAGAGUCUAGACACGCUUUUUGCCUGCUGGUUGUUUUGCUUUGACAUGCAUAAUAACAAACAUAACGAGCGUGCCAGUAUUUAUGCUUUUGAACCAGGCAGCAUUGAGGAUUGCCCUCUUUGUUCUUUCUGCAUUUCUGUGACUCCAAAAAAUGCCCAAAUGCCUCGUUAUCCGACUGGUGUAAAUACACCAUGGCUGAUGUAAUUCAAUCGAACAGCUCAAGAUCCAAACACCUGAUAACAAGGAGAAUUGUUGUGUGAGUCUUUCAUAUCUGUGUAGAUGCUAGAGGCUGAUACCAUGUGGCAGGAGCCAGGAGCCAGUGUAGCUGCGAGGAAAGGGACCCACAGAGACUGCGCCAGCUUAUCUCACCUGUGCAGAGUUGAGCACACAAUAAAAUACUCAAAUGAUGUGAAAUGUUGCCAAUUGCUAUUUACAAACAAGGAAUGCACCAAAAUAGAAAUAUACAAAGCAUGUAAUAUGGAAAACCUUUGAAGCUUGUUGAGAAUGUUUGGGGCAGAAGAUGGU
rnacentral:lncRNA from 1 species